CCAAUAUGAAUUAGAUUGUAUCAAGUAAUAAAUUGUCUAAGCAUUGGAAACACUUUUCACUGGUUUUAGAUUUUCUUGGGAAGAAAGCCGUCUUUUAAAUCAUAGUUCUGAAGUAGAUUAUCUUCAGUGAUAAUUGGGUUACUUUGAGAGAAAAUAUGCAUCUUUUGAAAAUUUUACACUGAGGAUAAGUCAAAUUUCUUAAUGGCAAAGAUGGUCCCAAUCAAAGACUGCAUAGGAUUGUUCUUCAUAAGAUUCACUCAAUAUUGUAUUCGAAUCCUUCAACAGUUUGACAAUGGCUACAACACCUUGGAUUCAUUCACUUCACUUGACCUGCAGAGAAUGGCUGAUCUAUCAUUUCAUGGAAGUGUUAAUUAUGGCAUAUCCUUGCUCACUUCACCUUCUGGAAGAUGGCCCCUUCAUGUGCAUAGCCUCUGGGGACAGUUUUAUGCUGUGAGAGACUUCCUCCACAUGCAAACCUGUCAAUGCG
ensembl:lncRNA